AUUGAACGCUAGCGGGAUGCUUUACACAUGCAAGUCGAACGGUAGCACGAAGAAAGCUUGCUUUCUUUGGUGACGAGUGGCGAACGGGUGAGUAAUGUAUCGGAACGUACCCAGUAGCGGGGGAUAACUACGCGAAAGCGUGGCUAAUACCGCAUACGCCCUACGGGGGAAAGGGGGGGAUCGCAAGACCUCUCACUAUCGGAGCGGCCGAUAUCGGAUUAGCUAGUUGGUGGGGUAAAGGCCCACCAAGGCGACGAUCCGUAGCUGGUUUGAGAGGACGACCAGCCACACUGGGACUGAGAAACGGCCCAGACUCCUACGGGAGGCAGCAGAGGGGAAUUUUGGACAAUGGGGGCAACCCUGAUCCAGCCAUCCCGCGUGUGCGAUGGAGCCUUCGGGUUGUAAAGCACUUUUGGCAGAGAAGAAACGACUCUGGAUAAUACCCGGGGUUAAUGACGGUAUCUGCAGAAUAAGCACCGGCUAACUACGUGCCAGCCGCCGCCGUAA
rnacentral:rRNA from 1 species